rnacentral:tRNA from 1 species
GGAGUGUAGCACAGUGGGUAAGGAACUGGGCUUGUAACCGAAAGGUCGCAGGUUCGAUUCCCACUGCCGUUAACCU